rnacentral:rRNA from 1 species
CAGCAGCCGCGGUAAAACGGAGGGUGCAAGCGUUAAUCGGAAUUACUGGGCGUAAAGCGCACGCAGGCGGUUUGUUAAGUCAGAUGUGAAAUCCCCGAGCUUAACUUGGGAACUGCAUUUGAAACUGGCAAGCUAGAGUCUCGUAGAGGGGGUAGAAUUGCAGGUGUAGCGGUGAAAUGCGUAGAGAUCUGGAGGAAUACCGGUGGCGAAGGCGGCCCCCUGGACAAAGACUGACGCUCAGGUGCGAAAGCGUGGGGAGCAAACAGGAUUAGAUACCCCGGUAGUCCCUGUCUCUUAUACA